rnacentral:tRNA from 1 species
GCGGUUGUGGUGGAACUGGUAGACACGCUACUUUGAGGGGGUAGUGAGCGCUAGCUUGUGUCGGUUCGAGUCCGACCAACCGCA